ACUCCUACGGGAGGCAGCAGUGGGGAAUAUUGCACAAUGGGCGCAAGCCUGAUGCAGCCAUGCCGCGUGUAUGAAGAAGGCCUUCGGGUUGUAAAGUACUUUCAGCAGUGAGGAAGGUGGAGUCGUUAAUAGCGGCCUCAUUUGACGUUAGCUGCAGAAGAAGCACCGGCUAACUCCGUGCCAGCAGCCGCGGUAAUACGGAGGGUGCGAGCGUUAAUCGGAAUUACUGGGCGUAAAGCGCAUGCAGGUGGUUUGUUAAGUCAGAUGUGAAAGCCCGGGGCUCAACCUCGGAAUUGCAUUUGAAACUGGCAGACUAGAGUACUGUAGAGGGGGGUAGAAUUUCAGGUGUAGCGGUGAAAUGCGUAGAGAUCUGAAGGAAUACCGGUGGCGAAGGCGGCCCCCUGGACAGAUACUGACACUCAGAUGCGAAAGCGUGGGGAGCAAACAGGAUUAGAUACCCUGGUAGGAUAGC
rnacentral:rRNA from 1 species